rnacentral:ncRNA from 1 species
UAUCUUCGGGGCAGGGUGUAAUUCCCGACCGGCGGUUAUAGUCCGCGAGCCUUUUUGGCAGGAACUGGUGAAAUUCCAGUACCGACAGUAUAGUCUGGAUGGGAGAAGAU